GACGAACGCUGGCGGCAUGCCUAACACAUGCAAGUCUAGGGGUAGCAAUACCACUGGCGCACGGGUGAGUAACACGUAGGUUAUCUGCCCCCAUCACAGACAUAACCCCGGGAAACCGGGGCUAAUAUCUGAUGAGGUCGCGAGAUCAAAGCUUCGGCGGAUGGGGAUGAGCCUGCGGCUGAUUAGCUAGUUGGUGAGGUAAUGGCUCACCAAGGCGACGAUCAGUAGCUGGUCUGAGAGGACGAACAGCCACACUGGAACUGAGACACGGUCCAGACUCCUACGGGAGCAGCAGUGAGGAAUAUUGGUCAAUGGGAGCAAUCCUGAACCAGCAAUGCCGCGUGUGGGAUGACAGGGCUUCGCCUUGUAAACCACUGUCGGACGGGACGAAAGGAGGCCUCGGGCCUCUGGGACGGUACCGUCAAAGGAAGGGUCGGCUAACUACGUGCCAGCAGCCGCGGUAAU
rnacentral:rRNA from 1 species